rnacentral:rRNA from 1 species
GAUGAACGCUGGCGGCGUGCCUAAUACAUGCAAGUCGAGCGAACAGAUGAGGAGCUUGCUCCUCUGACGUUAGCGGCGGACGGGUGAGUAACACGUGGAUAACCUACCUAUAAGACUGGGAUAACUUCGGGAAACCGGAGCUAAUACCGGAUAAUAUAUUGAACCGCAUGGUUCAAUAGUGAAAGACGGUUUUGCUGUCACUUAUAGAUGGAUCCGCGCCGCAUUAGCUAGUUGGUAAGGUAACGGCUUACCAAGGCAACGAUGCGUAGCCGACCUGAGAGGGUGAUCGGCCACACUGGAACGGAGACACGGUCCAGAGUCCUACGGGAGGCAGCAGUAGGGAAUAUUCCGCAAUGGGCGAAAGCAUGACGGAGCAACGCCGCGUGAGUGAUGAAGGUCUUCGGAUCGUAAAACUCUGUUAUUAGGGAAGAAAAAAUGUGUAAGUAACUAUGAACGUAUUGACGGUACCUAAUCAGAAAGCCACGGCUAACUACGUG